UACGUAGGGACCAAGCGUUGUUCGGAUUUACUGGGCGUAAAGGGCGCGUAGGCGGCUUGACAAGUCACUUGUGAAAUAUCCCGGCUUAACCGGGAGGGGUUAUGCCAGACUGUCAGUCUUGAGUGCGAGAGAGGAGCGUGGAAUUCCGGGUGUAGUGGUGAAAUGCGUAGAGAUCCGGAGGAACCCCAGAGGCGAAGGCGGCGCUCUGGCUCGCAACUGACGCUCAGACACGACAGCAUGGGGAGCGAACGGG
rnacentral:rRNA from 1 species